rnacentral:rRNA from 1 species
UACGGAGGGGGCUAGCGUUGUUCGGAAUUACUGGGCGUAAAGCGUGCGCAGGCGGUUUUGUAAGCCAGAUGUGAAAUCCCCGGGCUCAGCCUGGGAAUGGCAUUUGGGACUGCAAGGCUUGAGUGCGGCAGAGGAGACUGGAAUUCCUGGUGUAGCAGUGAAAUGCGUAGAUAUCAGGAGGAAUACCGAUGGCGAAGGCAGGUCUCUGGGCUGACACUGACGCUCAUGCACGAAAGCGUGGGGAGCAAACAGG